GCUGGUGUGGCUCAGUGGCAGAGCAGUUGAUUCGUAAUCAACAGGUCGUGGGUUCGACCCCCACCACCAGCUCCA
rnacentral:tRNA from 1 species